AGAGUUUGAUCCUGGCUCAGAUUGAACGCUGGCGGCAUGCCUUACACAUGCAAGUCGAACGGUAACAGGUUAAGCUGACGAGUGGCGAACGGGUGAGUAAUAUAUCGGAACGUGCCCAAUCGUGGGGGAUAACGCAGCGAAAGUUGUGCUAAUACCGCAUAAGAUCUACGGAUGAAAGCGGGGGAUCGCAAGACCUCGCGCGAGUGGAGCGGCCGAUAUCAGAUUAGCUAGUUGGUGGGGUAAAGGCCCACCAAGGCGACGAUCUGUAGCUGGUCUGAGAGGACGACCAGCCACACUGGGACUGAGACACGGCCCAGACUCCUACGGGAGGCAGCAGUGGGGAAUUUUGGACAAUGGGCGCAAGCCUGAUCCAGCAAUGCCGCGUGCAGGAUGAAGGCCUUCGGGUUGUAAACUGCUUUUGUACAGAGCGAAAAGGUCUCCUCUAAUACGGGAGGCUCAUGACGGUACUGUAAGAAUAAGCACCGGCUAACUACGUGCCAGCAGCCGCGGUAAUACGUAGGGUGCAAGCGUUAAUCGGAAUUACUGGGCGUAAAGCGUGCGCAGGCGGUUAUAUAAGACAGAUGUGAAAU
rnacentral:rRNA from 1 species